rnacentral:rRNA from 1 species
UACGGGGGGGGGCAAGCGUUGUUCGGAAUUACUGGGCGUAAAGGGCUCGUAGGCGGCCAACUAAGUCAGACGUGAAAUCCCUCGGCUUAACCGGGGAACUGCGUCUGAUACUGGAUGGCUUGAGGUUGGGAGAGGGAUGCGGAAUUCCAGGUGUAGCGGUGAAAUGCGUAGAUAUCUGGAGGAACACCGGUGGCGAAGGCGGCGAUCCUGGACCAAUUCUGACGCUGAGGAGCGAAAGCCAGGGGAGCAAACGGG